rnacentral:rRNA from 1 species
GACGAACGCUGGCGGCGUGCCUAAUACAUGCAAGUCGAACGCAGUGGGGACGGGUGAGUAAAACGUGGGUAACCUCCCAUCAGAGGGGAUAACACUUGGAAACAGGUGCUAAACCGAUACUGGAGGAUGGACCCGCGGUGCAUUAGCUAGUGGGUGAGGAAACGGCGCACCAAGGCAACGAUGCAUAGCCGGCCUGAGAGGGGGAUCGGCCACACUGGGACUGAGACACGGCCCAGACUCCUACGGGAGGCAGCAGUAGGGAAGCUUCGACAAUGGACGAAAGUCUGACCCAGCAACGCCGCGUGAGUGAAGAAGGUUUUCGGAUCGUAAAACUCUUUUGUUAGAGAAGCGGUAUCUAACCAGAAAGCCACGGCUAACUACGUGCCAGCAGCCGCGGUAAUUC